CACGUAGGCGGCCUUGUAAGUUGGAUGUGAAAGCCCUGGGCUCAACCCAGGAAGUGCAUCCAAAACUGCAUGGCUUGAGUACCGGAGGGGUUCAGAGAAUUCCCGGUGUAGAGGUGAAAUUCGUAGAUAUCGGGAGGAAUACCAGUGGCGAAGGCGCUGAACUGGACGGUAACUGACGCUGAGGUGCGAAAGCGUGGGUAGCAAACAGGAUUAGAUACCCUGGUAGUCCACGCCGUAAACGAUGAGUGCUAGGCGGUGGGAGAUUUUGACCCUCUCGCUGUCGAAGCUAACGCGUUAAGCACUCCGCCUGGGGAGUACGGUCGCAAGACUAAA
rnacentral:rRNA from 1 species